AAAUCGGAUUUAUUAGAAUCCAAUCAAUUUAAGAAAUUAAUAUUUA
rfam:Lucilia cuprina strain LS Scaffold245, whole genome shotgun sequence.